UACGUAGGGUGCAAGCGUUACUCGGAAUUACUGGGCGUAAAGCGUGCGCAGGCGGUUGUGCAAGACCGAUGUGAAAUCCCCGGGCUCAACCUGGGAAUGGCAUUGGUGACUGCACGGCUAGAGUGUGUCAGAGGGGGGUAGAAUUCCACGUGUAGCAGUGAAAUGCGUAGAGAUGUGGAGGAAUACCGAUGGCGAAGGCAGCCCCCUGGGAUAACACUGACGCUCAUGCACGAAAGCGUGGGGAGCAAACAGG
rnacentral:rRNA from 1 species